GGGGUUGUGGCUCAGCGGUAGAGUGCUCGCCUCACACGUGUGAGACCCUGGGUUAGAUUCUCAGCACCA
rnacentral:tRNA from 1 species